UGAUAAGUGUUUUAUGGCACUUUUUAGAUCCAUAUCCACCUCGUGUGCAAUGUCAGUCGAUCUUCUUCAUGGAGAUCGACCAAACAUCAACCUUUAUCUUUUAACUCUUUGUCUGAAAAAUAUUAUGAAUAAACAAUUCAAAAUA
rnacentral:misc_RNA from 1 species